UAGGAAAUAAACUUUCGUGCUCACGAGC
rnacentral:sRNA from 1 species